AUGAAUGCUGGCGGCGUGUCUAAGGCAUGCAAGUCGAACGGUUCUCCAUGGUUCGCAAGAAUCAUGAAUAAUAGUGGCAAACGGGAGCGUAACACAUUGGCAACCUACCUUGUACUCGUGAACAACCACUGGAAACGGUGGCUAAUACACGAUAUGGAUGGGGGGACACAAGUCAUUCCCAUUGAAAGUUUUUCGGUACAAGAGGGGCCUAUGGUCCAUCAGUUAGUUGGCGGGGUAACGGCCCACCAAGACUAUGACGGAUACCAGGCGCGAGAGCGUGACCUGGCUCACUGGGACUGAGAACUGCCCAGACACCUACGGGUGGCUGCAGUCGAGAAUAUUCCGCAAUGCACGAAAGUGUGACGGAGCGACGCCGCGUGUCGGAAGAAGGCCUUCGGGUCGUAAACGACUUUUAUCAGGGACGAAUUUUGACGGUACCUGAAGAAUAAGGGGUUGCUAACUCUGU
rnacentral:rRNA from 1 species